UCCAUCUUCCUGGUCAAACUGACCGUCGUCUAAUUCCCGUAGGACACUGUCAUUGCUGCUGAAGCCGGAGAAGCUGCUGUACUGUGUCGGCCUCCUCUCUCUUGUCCAACACUCUCCAGAAGGAGAGAGGAGGCACUCUGCAGAUCCUGCUCAUCUUUAAGGACCAACUGAGAGCCACCCUUCACAGUCUCUCCUCCUCCCAGAAUGGAGAAAUUUGGACACAGAGGCACAGACAAAGAAAAUGUGAAGACACAGGGGAAAGAUGGCCAUCUACAAGUUAAGAAGAGAAGCCUGAAACAAAUGCUUCCCUCAUGGCCCUCAGACUGAACCAAUCCUGCCAAAGUCUUGGUCUUCAACUUUGAGUCUCUAGAACUCUAAGACAAUAAAUGUCUGUUGUUUAAGCCAUAA